rnacentral:rRNA from 1 species
UACGGGGGGGUAAGCGUUGUUCGGAAUUACUGGGCGUAAAGGGCUCGUAGGCGGCCAACUAAGUCGGACGUGAAAUCCCUCAGCUUAACUGGGGAACUGCGUCCGAUACUGGAUGGCUUGGAUUGGGAGAGGGAUGCGGAAUUCCAGGUGUAGCGGUGAAAUGACGUAGAUAUCUGGAGGAACACCGGUGGCGAAGGCGGCAUCCUGGACCAAUAUUGACGCUGAGGAGCGAAAGCCAGGGGAGCAAACGGG